GACGAACGCUGGCGGCGUGCUUAACACAUGCAAGUCGAACGGAAAGGCCCUGCUUUUGUGGGGUGCUCGAGUGGCGAACGGGUGAGUAACACGUGAGUAACCUGCCCUUGACUUUGGGAUAACUUCAGGAAACUGGGGCUAAUACCGGAUAGGAGCUCCUGCUGCAUGGUGGGGGUUGGAAAGUUUCGGCGGUUGGGGAUGGACUCGCGGCUUAUCAGCUUGUUGGUGGGGUAGUGGCUUACCAAGGCUUUGACGGGUAGCCGGCCUGAGGGGGUGACCGGCAACAUGGGGAAUGAGGAAGGGCCCAGACUCCUGCGGGGGGAAGAGGGGGGAAAUGUUGCAGAGGGGGGGGAAGCGUGAGGCAGCAACGCCGGGUGGGGGAUGACGGCUUUCGGGUUGUAACCCGCUUUCGCCUGUGAAGAAGGGGGAGGGAGGAGAAGGGAUAAAAAAGAACCGGCAAACACCGUG
rnacentral:rRNA from 1 species